rnacentral:sRNA from 1 species
UGCAUUGGCAGUACAAGCCGAGGGUUC